rnacentral:rRNA from 1 species
CCUUGACAUACUAAGAACUUUCCAGAGAUGGAUUGGUGCCUUCGGGAACUUAGAUACAGGUGCUGCAUGGCUGUCGUCAGCUCGUGUCGUGAGAUGUUGGGUUAAGUCCCGNAACGAGCGCAACCCUUUUCCUUAUUUGCCAGCGGGUAAUGCCGGGAACUUUAAGGAUACUGCCAGUGACAAACUGGAGGAAGGCGGGGACGACGUCAAGUCAUCAUGGCCCUUACGGCCAGGGCUACACACGUGCUACAAUGGUCGGUACAAAGGGUUGCUACCUCGCGAGAGGAUGCUAAUCUCAAAAAGCCGAUCGUAGUCCGGAUCGCAGUCUGCAACUCGACUGCGUGAAGUCGGAAUCGCUAGUAAUCGCGGAUCAGAAUGCCGCGGUGAAUACGUUCCCGGGCCUUGUACACACCGCCAGUCACACCAUGGGAGUUUGUUGCACCAGAAGUAGGUAGUCUAACCGCAAGGAGGACGCUUACCACGGUGUGGCCGAUGACUGGGGUGAAGUCGUAACAAGGUAGGCGUAGAUGA